CACCGUUAUCGGUUCAAUAUAGCUAGUUGCAAAUGACAACAAAGCUCCAAUGGCUCUAGCUGCGUAAGCAGUUCGAAACAUUGAAAACUUAAGUCCUGUUGCUUAGCAGCGGCAGGCGGGGUUCGGAGGUACCUGGCAACAGAAACCUCCACU
rnacentral:tmRNA from 1 species